rnacentral:rRNA from 1 species
CCGUAGCCCAAGAGAUCGGGAUAACACCUGGAAACAGAUGCUAAUACCGGAUAACAACAGAUGAUGCCUAUCAACUGUUUAAAAGAUGGUUCUGCUAUCACUCUUGGAUGGACCUGCGGUGCAUUAGCUAGUUGGUAGGGUAACGGCCUACCAAGGCGAUGAUGCAUAGCCGAGUUGAGAGACUGAUCGGCCACAUUGGGACUGAGACAGGCCCAAACUCCUACGGGAGGCAGCAGG